UGAUGUGGCGCCUACGUAGCGGAUCAUCCUCCAAGGAAGGACCAUCACCAUACCCUCUAGCCUAAGAGUACGGAGUACCUUAGGCUACACGGUAUGGGUCCGUCCCCCCACCCGUCCUGGUUCGGCGACGCAAGCUACACCAACCCGCCCCCCGUCCCCGUCCUCACCGUCCCUUCCUGGACGUUGGCGACGAACCAAAUGUGUGCCCCCUUCCUUCAAAAAGUUACCCUUUUUUUUAAAUUAAAUUUCCAUUUUUCAAAAACAAACAAACGGUCAAAAGAUUUAAAUAUAUAUAUUUCCAUUCCAAUUUCACCUCCAUUCACAAAUUUAACCCCAAAAUUUCAUUUCUCUCACAUAAUUUUUAGAGUAAACUUCCGUUUUGCUCCCUGUGGUUUGGUCACUUUAACGGUUUUGCUCCAACCGAUCCCGACACAACCCUUUCUACAAUCCGAACCCGACGACGAUGUGGAGGUUGUUCCCGAAACCCAACCUGCUAAAGAAAAAGGAAAACGAAAAAAAGGCAAGCAAGUGGUGGGUGAGCAAUCGUCCAAACCGAAGUCGACUAAGUGGACGCCAAUCGAAGAAGAAGCCUUAGCCAAGGCUUACAUAGGCAUGUCUACACACCCGACAAAAGGUAACGGGUGACGGGUUUUGGUCCAAGGUUUUGGCGAAGUUCCUCGACCUUAUUGACCAAGGCCCGUAUCGAGAUAUCGACUCGGUGUCAUCAAAGUGGCGGAAAAUGAACGCGUCCGUCAAUAGGUUUUGCAAGGAAUAUAAUAAAAUAUAUACAAGUGGGCGUCGUAGCGGCAUGAGCGACGACGAUGUGUUCAAACAAGCGUUGGAGAAGUAUAAGGCGAACAAUGGUAAUACCAACUUUGCUCACGUUCGCGCGUGGGAAAUUUUGAAAACGGAACCAAAAUGGGCGCCGAUUCCCAACGAGGUGGAGAUGGCGAAACGCAAAAAACAUCGGAAACGGGUAGUUUUAGCGCCGGUGGAUCGGACGCGAGGUGUCACAUAAACUUAAAUGACGACGCCGACUUUGACGAAGAGGAGUAUGCCGUACAUGAAGCGGAGCGUCCACCGGGCCGAGACAAAUCAAAGAAGGAGCGGGCCAAGGGGAAAGAAAAGGAAAAGGUGGACCCGAAGAUGGAAGAGUUUAUGGAACACUUAAAAAUGUACAAUAACGUCUCGGCCUAAAAGACGAAGGCGAAGGAGCAGGCCGUCGAAGAAAAAACUCGUGUAGUGGAAGAAAAGUUACGCGAGAAGGUCCGAUUGUCGAAUGAGAAAAUCCGAAUUUCCGAUGAAAAAAUUCGCCUCAAGGAAUGGGAAAUAAUAACGAUGGAUGUCGAUCAGUAUCCCGAGUCGAAACGUUCGAUGUUGAAAAAACUACAAACCGACAUCAUGAAGAAGCAUGAUAUUAUUUAAGUCUAUGUUUUUUUUAUUAAGUUUAUGUUUUGUUUUAAAUUUAUGUAAUGUGGUUUUAAUAUUAAUGAAAAUAUUUUGUUAGUUUA